UACGGGGGGGGCAAGCGUUGUUCGGAAUUACUGGGCGUAAAGGGUUCGUAGGUGGCCAACUAAGUCAUACGUGAAAUCCCUCAGCUUAACUGGGGAACUGCGUCUGAUACUGGUUGGCUUGAGUGCAGGAGAGGAACGCGGAAUUCCAGGUGUAGCGGUGAAAUGCGUAGAUAUCGGGAGGAACACCAGUGGCGAAGGCGGCGAUCUGGGCAGAUACUGACGCUGAGGUGCGAAAGCGUGGGGAGCAAACAGG
rnacentral:rRNA from 1 species